GACGAACGCUGGCGGCGUGCUUAACACAUGCAAGUCGAACGGAAAGGCCCUGCUUGCAGGGUACUCGAGUGGCGAACGGGUGAGUAACACGUGGGUGAUCUGCCCUGCACUUCGGGAUAAGCCUGGGAAACUGGGUCUAAUACCGGAUAGGAGCCACUUUCAGUGUGAUGGUUGGAAAGUUUUUUCGGUGUAGGAUGAGCUCGCGGCCUAUCAGCUUGUUGGUGGGGUAAUGGCCUACCAAGGCGGCGACGGGUAGCCGGCCUGAGAGGGUGGACGGCCACAUUGGGACUGAGAUACGGCCCAGACUCCUACGGGGGGCAGCAGUGGGGAAUAUUGCACAAUGGGCGCAAGCCUGAUGCAGCGACGCCGCGUGGGGGAUGACGGCCUUCGGGUUGUAAACUCCUUUCGCUAGGGACGAAGCUUUUUGUGACGGUACCUAGAUAAGAAGCACCGGCUAACUACGUG
rnacentral:rRNA from 1 species